GAGGGUCUCGCGGCCUAUCAGCUAGUUGGCGGGGUAACGGCCCACCAAGGCGUCGACGGGUAGCUGGUCUGAGAGGAUGAUCAGCCACACUGGGACUGAGACACGGCCCAGACUCCUACGGGAGGCAGCAGUGGGGAAUCUUGCGCAAUGGGCGAAAGCCUGACGCAGCAACGCCGCGUGCGGGAUGAAGGCCUUCGGGUUGUAAACCGCUUUCAGUGGGAACGAAAUUGACGGUACCCAAAGAAGAAGGUCCGGCUAACUACGUGCCAGCAGCCGCGGUAACACGUAGGGACCAAGCGUUGUCCGGAUUUAUUGGGCGUAAAGAGCUCGUAGGCGGUUGGGCAAGUCGGGUGUGAAAUCUCCAGGCUUAACUUGGAGGGGUCACCCGAUACUGCUCUGACUAGAGUCCGGUAGGGGAGCGGGGAAUUCCUGGUGUAGCGGUGAAAUGCGCAGAUAUCAGGAGGAACACCGGUGGCGAAGGCGCCGCUCUGGGCCGGUACUGACGCUGAGGAGCGAAAGCGUGGGUAGCAAACAGGAUUAGAU
rnacentral:rRNA from 1 species